CAAUAUUAAGUACAUAUGUAGCCAACUAACCACCACUCUUUGUGGCCAACUAACCACCACUCAUUGUAAAUAAAAAACUUGAUCACUACAUAAAAUAUCUACUAACUAGGAGUUUCUAGAUAAAUCUUAAUUUCCUAACACUCCUCCUUAAGAUUUUUCAUUGAAACUCCCUGCAACGACCUUUGAAACUCAAACUUAUUGGUGGGAAGAGCCUUGAUUAGAAUAUCGGCUUGUUGUUCUUCACUUUUGCAAUGCACCAGCUCAACUUCCCCAUUCUUCUCGGCAUCUCGCAAAGCAUGAAAUCUGAUGUUGAUAUGCUUCGUCCUUCCAUGUUGCACUGGAUUUUCAGCCAUAGCAAUGGCUGAUUUAUUAUCCACAUAGAUCACUGUUGGUUCUUCUGGCAAAAGGUCCACUUCAAACAAGAUUUUCCUCAACCUAAUUCCUUGAUUUGUAGUAGAUACAACAGCCACAUACUCGGCUUCAGCUGAAGAUUAAGCUAUGAUAUCUUGCUUCUUUGUGCUCCAAGAAAAAAUGCCUGAACCAAAUGAAAAAGAGUAACCCGAUGUGCUUUUGUAAUCGUCCAAACAUCCACCCUAAUCACUAUCUGAAUAGCCAAUAAGAGCUCCAUUCUCUACACUUCUAUACCAAAUGCCAUAAUCAGUUGUCCCUCUAAUAUACCUCAACAUCCUUUUAGUAGCUCUAAAAUGCUUGGUACUGGGACAUUGCAUAUAUCGGGACAGUGGACUAGCAGCAAACAUCACAUCUGGUCUGGUAGCAGUCAGAUACAACAAGCUUCCAAUAAGGAUCCUAUAAAGUUUUGAAUCUGCCCGCUCUUCUCCAUCAUCCUUCAUUAACUUUUCAUUCACUACAAGUGGAGUUGCAACAGGUUUGCACUUAUCAAGCUUGAACCUUUUAAAGAGAUUCAGGGCAUGCCUCUUUUGGGAUAAGAAAAUUCCUUCAGAAGAUUGAGAAAUUUCCAUUCAUGGGAAGAACUUCAUCUCCCCUCGACCAGACAUUUCAAAAACUUUUAGCAUCGAAUUUUUAAUUUCUUGAACCAUAAGAGAAUCUUCACCUAUGAUCAUCAAAUCAUCAACAUAAACAGAUAUCACAAUUAACUUCCAUUAGCUUGCCUUUUGAAGUAUAAAGUAGGCUUAUUUAGGCUUCGGUUGAAGCCUUGAGACAGCAGAUGAGUAUCCAGCCUAUUGUACCAAGCUCUUGGAGCUUGUUUAAGGCCGUAGAGAGCCUUUUUAAGCUUAUACACCUUGCUUUAGGAAAGGUUCGUCUAUGCAAUUUACGAAAUUGACAUGACUCACAAAAAUCUCGGCACAUGUCAAUUUUGGGUACAUCAAGCACCAUACCCUUGGAGUGCAUAUACACCAAUGAAUUAAGGUUGUAAUGACCGAAU
rnacentral:lncRNA from 1 species